rnacentral:misc_RNA from 1 species
AAGUCGUAACAAGGUCUCCGUUGGUGAACCAGCGGAGGGAUCAUUACUGAGUUAUCCAAAAACUCCCAACCCUAUGUGAACUUACCACUGUUGCCUCGGCGAGCUGCGCUACCCUGUAGCUACUUUUGUAGGGACCUGGGAGCGCGUUAUAGGCUCGCCAGAGGACCACUAAACUCUGUUUUAUUUUGUAUCUCUGAAUCUUACAACUGAAAUCAGUUAAAACUUUCAACAACGGAUCUCUUGGUUCUG